AUCCAGCAGCCGGGUACAUAAGCUAUCUAAAAUCCUCCAGGACAUCAGAAGGAGAAGAGCUCCAGAAUAACGAAGACAACCUUUCUGAGUGCUGUAAUUGACAAGCUGACAAGAUGUGUAACAUGGAUUGUGUUGCCAAUGCCGUAAGGAAGGUUUUCAGGACCGUAAAAAGGGUAUUUGAGAAGACGAAAGAAGUCAUUGAGCACCCCUUUGAGGAACCCAAAGCAGCACCCAAACCAGGACCUGACAAAACAGAUUGAGGAUGUGGUGGACUUCACCAUCCGUGAUAUGCAGAGAUCUUCUAUAUUGUUAAAGAACUUCAUGUAAUAUUGGGUCAACAUUCCCAAAAAGAAUAAAAGUCAUGUUGAA